GAUAACCAGCCGUAUACAGGGGGAUAACACUUAGAAAUAGGUGCUAAUACCGCAUAAGCGCACGGUUCCGCAUGGAACAGUGUGAAAAACUCCGGUGGUAUACGAUGGAUCCGCGUCUGAUUAGCCAGUUGGCGGGGUAACGGCCCACCAAAGCGACGAUCAGUAGCCGGCCUGAGAGGGUGAACGGCCACAUUGGGACUGAGACACGGCCCAAACUCCUACGGGAGGCAGCAGUGGGGAAUAUUGCACAAUGGGGGAAACCCUGAUGCAGCGACGCCGCGUGAGUGAAGAAGUAUUUCGGUACGUAAAGCUCUAUCAGCAGGGAAGAAAAUGACGGUACCUGACUAAGAAGCCCCGGCUAACUACGUGCCAGCAGCCGCGGUAAUACGUAGGGGGUAAGCGUUAUCCGGAUUUACUGGGUGUAAAGGGAGCGUAGACGGCAGCGCAAGUCUGGAGUGAAAUCCCAUGGCUUAACCAUGGAACUGCUUUGGAAACUGUGCAGCUAGAGUGCAGGAGAGGUAAGCGGAAUUCCUAGUGUAGCGGUGAAAUGCGUAGAUAUUAGGAGGAACACCAGUGGCGAAGGCGGCUUACUGGACUGUAACUGACGUUGAGGCUCGAAAGCGUGGGGAGCAAACAGGAUUAGAUACCCUGGUAGUCCACGCUGUAAACGAUGAUUACUAGGUGU
rnacentral:rRNA from 1 species